GAAUUCCAGCAACACCCACUUUGGCACUGGGAAGCGAGCGGGCGGCGAGGGGUGUUAACCCGUGAGGAGCUGGGGGCGACGCAGGGCCGGCCUGAGGGCUAGUAGGCGAGAUGACGCCUGCCGGGACAGGGGCACCCAAGCCACCUUUCUCUUGUCCUGGGCAAACUGAACUGCUGACCUGUCCAGAGUUUAUCUCCCGCCCCUAACCUCAGGGACAAACUCCCUGUUCGAUGACCAAGGCUGCAGCCUCGAAGGUCUGAAGGAGUUCAGGAGAGGUACGAAGAACGGCAUGACAGAGACAGGACCCAAAGGCCGGGCCCCGGACCCUUCGCUUCCCGCCCGAGCCACUGGGGGCGUCGGCCGGGGCUGCGGCUGGAGCUGGGACAGCACGGGGCAGCUCGCCUGCCUCCGCCGCCGUGGGACGCGGGAGCGCUGGAAGGUCCCCUGGGGGCGCGCGCCCUCUAGUGGACUAGGCCGCGUCCUUGGCUAUCCUGCGGCCGGCAGAGACCUGUCGCUGCCAGCCGCCUUAGCUCCUUGAUCUUCAUCCCCUUCCUGCUGCGUCAGGAUCGAGCCUAGGCCUGAGGCGUUGAUGGCGGCGGAUCCUACAAGAGGUGCCUUCUCUUCCACAGAGGAAUAAACAUGGAGGAUCUGGAAUAAGGUCACUCAAGGAGACAGCGUGUGUCCAAGAAGUGAAUGAAAUCCAGUCCUCCAGCCUGCGGCUCAGAUCCAUUUCCUUGAUUCCCAUCCAGCCCCUCACUCCCUCGGGAUUCGAUGAGCUUCUGAUUGAUGCAGUGAGUGUGCUCACAUCUUCUUGUGUUGGCAGGGAGAGGGCAGGGGUGCUAGAGUGCCAACGGCCACCCAUCUCAGUACCCCCAACAGUCAGCUCAUCACUCACACCGUGGUCCCCUGCCCUAAAGUCUAAAGGCCUGGCAACCAUGGCUGCCUCCCCCAAGCACCCCACCCCGCCCCUGCAUUUCUGCAGCCUACUGCUUCCUGGAGAGGCAGAGGGACCGAGCAGGCAGGAAGACACCAGUUUAUAGGGACCCACACCACACAAAGGACAGACCCAGUCUAAUGUUGAAAACAGCCUCAACUCCCGACCUUGGCCUCCAAAGCCCUGCAGGACUGGCCCCCUCUCUGAUCUAUCCCACCUCUUGCUGGGGCACUCACCACACCGCAGCUGCACUGACCUCCUCUCUACUCCUUGAACAGGCUAAGUUCACGCCCACUUCCCUCUCCCCGAAACACUCAUCUCCGGGAUGUUUUACAGGACACGCUCAUCACUUCACCCCUCAGCUCAAACAUCACCCCCUGGAGAGGCCAUCCCUGACCCCCCAACCUAGAGCAGUCUUCCCACUCCCAAGUCAUCACCUUCUAAUACAUCACCCUGUUUCACCUUCAUUGCUCUAGAGUAGUUGAAAUUGUUUGUUUACCUGUAUAACUGAUGUAUUGAAUGGGCUGAACCUGAAGAGGAACAAUCAGGAAACAGCUCUAUGUUUCUCCUCUCCCUGCCUUCAACCAUGUUAUGGUGAAUUUCUCUUCUCCACCCUUAAUGGCAUCUCAAGCAGAGUCCUUGGCUUGCCCAUCGCCGUUAGUCACAAGAACAGUUUCGUUUCUAUAAUUAAGACCAAUUUCCAGGCACUAAAAAGUCUGGUUCUGUCCAAAUCAAAACCUCAUCCAAUUUAAUCAAUCUCGUAUCCAAUUUAACACCCCUCCUCUCCCUCCACAGGCCUGUCCCCUGGCUCAAGAUCAUGUACUAGGGAGAGUGGGGUGUGGUCUGAUUUUCUGACCUUCCUUUUCUGCUGUGGCUCCUCCACAUCAGGGUCGGGGGAGAGGUGUUAGGGGGGAAAUGGUAAAGUCCUGUGUGACAGGUGCCCUUGGCUGACAGGUGCCAAGCUCUGGCUCUUUCAUAGGCACAUUUGUGGGUUCUUGGGAAGCUCUCUGCAUGAUCUCCACCCUGCACUACCAUGGCAAGGCACUCUCUGGACAAUUUCCCUGUGUCCCCUACCCCCCAUGGGACUUUCCUGUCCAUGCCAGCAAACCAGUGGUGAGCUGGCUGCAUCUCUUCCUGCUAUAAGGGCCACUCCAGCCGGUCUCCAUGGUCAGAUUUCUCCAGACAGAAAAUGCACACAAGCCUCUUCAUUUAUGUACAUCCCCAAUUCCUAAAGUCAUAGGUUGGGUUCUCCCAGGAACUUUCUUGCUGUGCUUUGGUGCAUUGGGGUGCUUGCAGCUUCUAGCACCUCAGCUAGCAUCAGUGGAGACAGAGUUAUGGGGAGUCAUGCUAGUUUCCCCUUCUCUGGAGGCCCCCAGUCUCUAUGACUGGUUUUCUUAGGGCCCUGUUCACUCGGUUUGCUUGGGGAGUACCCUCAGGGGAAAUCUCAGCCCUGCUUACUAAUGCAACUGUUCUCUGACUCAAUGACUUUCUUCAAUCCCUUUUUAUUCGUAGGCUGGAAUCCAGGGAUGUAUCUUGACAGUUGUUGAACUGGUUCUGCCUUUAGUAAGAUGCCUAGUACUUCUCUUUGGCAUGUGAGAAUAUAUAGUCCUUAUUGUUCUAGCCUUUGCAUCUUCAGCAGAAAUUCAAAGCCCACAGGAAAAAUCCUGUUCAACAACCUGUAAAAUUAUUGUCUGACUUCCCAAGCCACAAUGAUAGCUCUAAAUGAGCAGGUAUCUUGCCUGCCUGGAUAACCCCUGUUUCCCCAAAACCUAGAACAGUGCUUGCCUCUAAUAGACAGCCAAGAAAUAUGUGUUCAGGGGCUUCCCUGGUGGUCCGGUGGCUAAGACUCCACGCUCCACAUGCAGGGGGCCCGGGUUCCAUUCCUGGUCAGGAAACUAGAUCCCACAUGCCGCAACUAAGAGUUUGCAUGCUGCAACUAAGAGUUCUCAUGCCACAACUAAAGAUUCCACAUGCUGCAACU
ensembl:lncRNA